rnacentral:rRNA from 1 species
GACGAACGCUGGCGGCGUGCCUAAUACAUGCAAGUAGAACGCACAGUUUAUACCGUAGCUUGCUACACCAUAGACUGUGAGUUGCGAACGGGUGAGUAACGCGUAGGUAACCUGCCUGGUAGCGGGGGAUAACUAUUGGAAACGAUAGCUAAUACCGCAUAAUAUUAAUUAUUGCAUGAUAAUGAAUUGAAAGGUGCAAUUGCACCACUACCAGAUGGACCUGCGUUGUAUUAGCUAGUAGGUGAGGUAACGGCUCACCUAGGCGACGUUACAUAGCCGACCUGAGAGGGUGGUCGGCCACACUGGGACUGUGACACGGCCCAGACUGCUACGGGAGGCAGCAGUAGGGAAUCUUCGGCAAUGGGCGAAAGUCUGACCGAGCAACGCCGCGUGAGUGAAGAAGGUUGUCGGGUCGUAAAGCUCUGUUGUAAGAGAAGAACGGGCGUGAGAGUGGAAAGUUCACACUGUGACGGUAACUUACCAGAAAGGGACGGCUAACUACGUG